rnacentral:rRNA from 1 species
AUACGAAGGGGGCUAGCGUUAUUCGGAAUUACUGGGCGUAAAGAGUUCGUAGGCGGACUGGAAAGUUAGAGGUGAAAGCCCAGGGCUCAACCCUGGAACGGCCUUUAAAACUUCCAGUCUAGAGACAGAUAGAGGUAAGGAGAAUACUUAGUGUAGAGGUGAAAUUCGUAGAUAUUAAGUGGAACACCAGUGGCGAAGGCGCCUUACUGGAUCUGUACUGACGCUGAGGAACGAAAGCGUGGGGAGCGAACGGGAUUAGAAACCCUAGUAGUCC